AGUGAACGCUGGCGGUAGGCCUAACACAUGCAAGUCGAACGGCAGCACAGUAAGAGCUUGCUCUUACGGGUGGCGAGUGGCGGACGGGUGAGGAAUACAUCGGAAUCUACUUUUUCUUGGGUGAUAACGGAGGGAAACUUACGCUAAUACCGCAUACGACCUACGGGUGAAAUCAGGGGAUCUUCGGACCUUGCGCGAUUGAAUGAGCCGAUGUCGGAUUAGCUAGUUGGCGGGGUAAAGGCCCACCAAGGCGACGAGCCGUAGCUGGCCUGAGAGGAUGAUCAGCACAAUUGGACUGGAGAAAGGGUCAAGAUCCAUACGGGAGGAAGAAGUGGGAAACAUCGGAAAAGGGGCGAAAGCCUGCUCAAGAACGACGGCGUGGGUGAAGAAGGCUUCCGGGUUGUAAAGCCUUUUUGUUGGGAAAGAAAAGUAGGAGGUUAACAACGCGCUGUUCGGCGGGUCCCAAUAGAAUAAGCACGGCUUACUUCCGU
rnacentral:rRNA from 1 species